AGAGUUUGAUCCUGGCUCAGGACGAACGCUGGCGGCGCGCCUAACACAUGCAAGUCGAACGAGCGAGAGAGAGCUUGCUUUCUCAAGCGAGUGGCGAACGGGUGAGUAACGCGUGAGGAACCUGCCUCAAAGAGGGGGACAACAGUUGGAAACGACUGCUAAUACCGCAUAAGCCCACGGUGCCGCAUGGCACAGGGGGAAAAGGAGCAAUCCGCUUUGAGAUGGCCUCGCGUCCGAUUAGCUAGUUGGUGAGGUAAUGGCCCACCAAGGCAACGAUCGGUAGCCGGACUGAGAGGUUGAACGGCCACAUUGGGACUGAGACACGGCCCAGACUCCUACGGGAGGCAGCAGUGGGGAAUAUUGCACAAUGGGGGAAACCCUGAUGCAGCGACGCCGCGUGGAGGAAGAAGGUCUUCGGAUUGUAAACUCCUGUUGUUGAGGAAGAUAAUGACGGUACUCAACAAGGAAGUGACGGCUAACUACGUGCCAGCAGCCGCGGUAAAACGUAGGUCACAAGCGUUGUCCGGAAUUACUGGGUGUAAAGGGAGCGCAGGCGGGAAGACAAGUUGGAAGUGAAAUCUAUGGGCUCAACCCAUAAACUGCUUUCAAAACUGUUUUUCUUGAGUAGUGCAGAGGUAGGCGGAAUUCCCGGUGUAGCGGUGGAAUGCGUAGAUAUCGGGAGGAACACCAGUGGCGAAGGCGGCCUACUGGGCACCAACUGACGCUGAGGCUCGAAAGUGUGGGUAGCANACAGGAUUAGAUACCCUGGUAGUCCACACCGUAAACGAUGAUUACUAGGUGUUGGAGGAUUGACCCCUUCAGUGCCGCAGUUAACACAAUAAGUAAUCCACCUGGGGAGUACGACCGCAAGGUUGAAACUCAAAGGAAUUGACGGGGGCCCGCACAAGCAGUGGAGUAUGUGGUUUAAUUCGACGCAACGCGAAGAACCUUACCAAGUCUUGACAUCCUGCGACGGACAUAGAAAUAUGUCUUUCCUUCGGGACGCAGAGACAGGUGGUGCAUGGUUGUCGUCAGCUCGUGUCGUGAGAUGUUGGGUUAAGUCCCGCAACGAGCGCAACCCUUAUGGUCAGUUACUACGCAAGAGGACUCUGGCCAGACUGCCGUUGACAAAACGGAGGAAGGUGGGGAUGACGUCAAAUCAUCAUGCCCUUUAUGACUUGGGCUACACACGUACUACAAUGGCGUUAAACAAAGAGAAGCAAGACCGCGAGGUGGAGCAAAACUCAGAAACAACGUCCCAGUUCGGACUGCAGGCUGCAACUCGCCUGCACGAAGUCGGAAUUGCUAGUAAUCGCAGAUCAGCAUGCUGCGAUGAAUACGUUCCNCGGGCCAUUGUACACACCGCCCGUNNC
rnacentral:rRNA from 1 species